ACACUGCCAAUUUGGAACGAAUACCAUAUCUUGUUCUAAUUUUUAUAUCCGCUUACCCUCUUAGCCCAAUAUCCUGCCAAACAAGCUUCCCGAAGCGCAUGCGUCCGGAGUUAGAAAACCUCCGAAAGAACACCUCAGUCAUUUAAGUACUUCGGUGAAAACAAAGCCCAAACUAUGCGAUAGUCCGGACGUAAACAAGCAGCUUCGCAGCUCGGUCAUCUUAGAUAUACCUUCCCUCCUCACCUACGAUCCUCUCCAUAUUGUAAAAGAAAAACCUGCACUGUCCUGCACAAAAAUAAAAGAGAGCAGAGGGGCCAAGGGGCAUUGACGUCGCCCAACCCCUAAAAAAAAAAAAAAAAAAAAAAAAAUGCGGCCUCCGAACCUCCUCCUCCUUCGCCGCCUCCGCUGUCCUCACACCCACCCUCUCCUUUCUACAGCAAAGACAACCCUAAUAAGCAGCCGCCGCUUCCGCCUCCCCUCCCUCCCCUCCCUCCCCUCCUUCACAAACCCCAUCUCCCCCAAACCACCACCCCCGCGCACCCUAACCGCCACCCGCAACCUCGCGUUCCCCCCAGACCUCCUCUUCCGCACAAUCGCCGAUAUAGACUCGUACGCCGACUUCCUCCCCUUCCUCACUGAAUCGACAGUGACGGCCCGCGACGCGAGGACUGGGUAUCCGACCAGCGCGUUCCUGACGGUGGGAUACGGGCCGUUGAAGGAGACGUUUGUGUCGCGCGUGACGUGCGAUGCGGGGAUGUGGACCGUUGGGGCACGGAGCGGGCGGCGG
rnacentral:sRNA from 1 species